rnacentral:rRNA from 1 species
UACGUAGGGGGCAAGCGUUGUCCGGAUUUAUUGGGCGUAAAGAGCGUGUAGGCGGCCAGGUAGGUGGGUUGUGAAAACUGGAGGCUCAACCUUCAGACGUCGACCCAAACCCCUGGCUAGAGUCCGGAAGAGGAGAGUGGAAUUCCUGGUGUAGCGGUGAAAUGCGCAGAUAUCAGGAAGAACACCCGUGGCGAAGGCGGUUGCCUGGAGCUUUGCUGACGCUGAUGCGCGAAAGCGUGGGGAGCGAUCCGG